rnacentral:rRNA from 1 species
AUGUCGGGCAGGAAGGUUCCCCGUCUCGCCGCGCCGCCGACGACUCCGCAGGCCCAGCUGGCUGGCUUGUACCAAGACGACGAGCCGUUGGGGCCUCUGGUCGGCCGGAUCGCCGGCGCCAUCCAUUUCCGCCAAGCGACGUCACUCACCAAGGCUCUCCAUCUCGCCGCGCCGCCGCCGACCCCGUACGCCCAGGCCCAGGUCGGCGCGUACCAUGACGACGAGCCGCUGGAGCAUCCUGCUGCCGCCGGGGCGCAGGCGCAGGCGCCGGCAGAUGACGGCGGGCUGGUCCUCAAGACGCAGUGCGAGUUCCCGGCCCUCGGGAGGGGCGCGUCCCGGGACAAGUUCGCGGUGCUCGUGCACGUCAGGGCGCCGGCCGACGUGGCGCGCGCGCCGCUCGACCUCGUCACCGUGCUCGACGUCAGCGGCAGCAUGGACGGCCAGAAGAUGGAGCUGCUGAAGCAGGCCACGGGAUUCGUCGUCGACCAGCUCGGCCCCGACGACCGCCUCUCCAUGGUGUACUUCUCCGGGGAGGCGACCCGGCUGAUCCCUCUCACGCGCAUGACGGUCGCGGGCAAGGCCCGGGCCAAGCUGGCCGUGGAGGGCAUGGAUUACAUGACGCUCGUGCUGCCUUUGUUCACGCACGCCGGCACCCGGCCUGGGCCGAUCCACACGUUCGGCUUCGGCGCCGACAACGACGCCCUGGCCAUGCACACCAUCGCGGAGGCGACGGGCGGCACCUUCUCCUUCAUCGAGAACCAGGCGGCGAUCCAGGACUCGUUCGCGCAGUGCAUCGGCGGGCUGCUCUCGGUCGCCGUGCAGGAGGCGCCCAUCGCCGUGACGUGCCUGCACCGGGGCGUGCGCGUCCAGGAGAUCAAGUCCGGCAGCUACGGCAACCACGUGGGCGCCGAUGGCCGUGCCGCCUCCAUCGACGUGGGCGAGCUCUACGACGAUGAGGAGAGGCGCUUCUUGGUGCUGGUGCACGUGCCGAAAGCCCGGCCCGUGGAGUCGGUCACCCGGUUGGUCAAGGUGAGCUGCACCUACAAGGUCGCCGCGACAGGGCAGGCGGCCCACGCCGCGGCACCGGCGGCGGUGAUCCAGAGGCUGCUGGAGCUGGAGCUGACCGAAACGCACCCUCCGUCCAUUGACGUGGAGCAGGAGCGCGUCCGGCUUGCCGCGACGCAGGACAUCGCGGCCGCACGGGCGGCCGCCGAGGGGGGACAGCACCCCGGCGCCGCCCGGAUCCUGGAUUCCCGGCUGAAGGCCGUGGAGCGGUCGGCGCCGGGGGCGGCCGGCGACCCGACGUGCGAGGCGAUCAAGGAGGAGCUGCGCGACCUGAGCGCGUGCGUGGGCAGCCUGCGGGAGUACCGGAAGACGGGGCGCGCGCGGCUGCUGGCCGGCAUGAGCUCGCACGCGCAGCAGCGCGCGUCGGCGUCCACGAGCACCAGUGCUCGGGCCUACCUGACCCCCAAGAUGGAGGAGAUGGUGGAGGCGUCGCGGAAGCAAAGCAGGAAGCGUGGCGGCAGCCAGCAGCCGUGGAGCCAGCUUAAACAGAUCAAGCACGACCUGACCUGA